CGUAGGUGGCAAGCGUUGUCCGGAUUUAUUGGGUUUAAAGGGUGCGUAGGCGGUUUUCUAAGUCAGCAGUGAAAUACGGCAGCUCAACUGUCGAGGUGCUGUUGAUACUGGGGAACUUGAGUACUGAUGAGGUAGGCAGAAUGGACGGUGUAGCGGUGAAAUGCUUAGAGAUCGUCCAGAACACCGAUAGCGAAGGCAGCUUACUAAGGAGUAACUGACGCUGAGGCACGAAAGUGUGGGGAUCAAACAGGAUUAGAUACCCUGGUAGUCCACACUGUAAACGAUGAUUACUCGAUGUGUGCGAUAUACGGCACGCGUCUUAGCAAAAGCGAUAAGUAAUCCACCUGGGGAGUACGCCGGCAACGGUG
rnacentral:rRNA from 1 species